rnacentral:lncRNA from 1 species
AUGGCGGAGGUGCAGGUCUUGGUGCUUGAUGGUCGAGGCCAUCUCCUGGGCCGCCUGGCGGCCAUUGUGGCUAAACAGGUACUGCUGGGCAGGAAAGUGGUGGUCGUAUGCUGCGAAGGCAUCAACAUUUCUGGCAAUUUCUACAGAAACAAGUUGAAGUUCGGACCGAGCGAGGCUUGCUGCCCCACAAGACCAAGCGAGGCCAGGCCGCUCUGGACUGCCUUAAGGUGUUUGACGGCAUCCCACCGCCCUAUGACAAGAAAAAAUGGAUGGUGGCUCCUGCUGCCCUGAAGGUCGUGCGUUUGAAGCCUGCAAGAAAGUUUGCCUAACUGGGGCGCCUGGCUCACGAGGUUGGCUGGAAGUAGCAGGCAGUGACAGCCACCCUGCAGGAGAAGAGGAAGGAGAAGGCCAAGAUCCAGUACUGGAAGAAGAAACAGCUCUUGAGGCUACGGAAACAGGCCGAGAAGAACGUGGAGAAGAAAAUUGACAAAUAUACAGAGGUCUUCAAGACUCACGGACUCCUGGUCUGA